AAGUCGUAACAAGGUAACCGUAGGUGAACCUGCGGUUGGAUCAUUAAAAAGAUCUAGUCUGAAUUUGCAUUUGGUUACCUCGGUGACCCUGUGCAAUGCCAGGCAAUCUCACCUUACAAGUGAGUCAACAUUCUGUGAACUGUUUUGUCUCUGGCGGUUGGAUGGCUCAAAACCAUCUGUCAGCAUCCUCAGGAUCUACGAUUCUCAGUGUGCCGUGGACAAGCCGUCAACAGUGUAUGUUUCAUACAAACUUUUGUUUCUUCAUAACUGUCUGACAUACCUUUGUAUUAAAAUACAAAAACAACUUUUGGCAACGGAUCUCUUGGCUCCC
rnacentral:misc_RNA from 1 species